UCCAGUGGUAGUCAGCUGUCCAGAGCCAUCCAGUGCCUGCGAUAGUGUUACACUGCUGGGAGAUAAAAAUCAGGCAUUUCUCCUGGCUGCUGCUGUCACCGUUCUGGAGACAGCUGAUGCCAGAAAGAAGUGGCACUGGGCUUCCCUGAGAGUGCGCUGAAGAUUUGCUUUCCCUCUUUCGCGCUAGUCUGGAAGCAUACAUG
rnacentral:snoRNA from 1 species